rnacentral:rRNA from 1 species
ACCUAGGUGUAUUUAAUACCUAGCUUUUUCUGCUCCAUGAACACUUAAAUAGCCGCAGUACCCUGACUGUGCAAAGGUAGCAUAAUCAGUUGGCUUUUAAUUGAAGUCUUGUAUGAACGAAUAGACGGGUAAGGUCUGUCUCUGAGAGCUAAGUAGAACUUUUUUAGUAAGUGAAAAUACUUUUAGUUACAUAAAAGACGAGAAGACCCUAGAAAUUUUUUAAAAAGAGUUUACUUAUACUCUUCUAUUUUGCUGGGGCGGCAAAGUAACACAUAAAACUUGCUUUAUAGAUAAGAAGUUUUUAUACAGGAAAAUAAUAAUUACUCUAGGGAUAACAGCAUAAUGUUUCAGCGUUUGUGACCUCGAUGUUGGAUUAGGGUAGACAAUACUCAGAAGGUAUUGUUUUUGUUCUGUUCGAACACUAGCCCCUACAUG